GCGUCGGUACGCAAAGGGUAAAGCGGCCGCUCUUUUAGGCGGUGAUUUUAUAGGUUCGAGUCCUGUCUGACGUC
rnacentral:tRNA from 1 species